rnacentral:RNase_P_RNA from 1 species
AGUCGGCUGGACAGUCGCUCUGAGUUUUGUUUUGGCUUCGGUCAUGACAAUACUCAGGGAGGAAAGUCCGGGCUCCAAAGGGUAGAGUGCCAGGUAACUCCUGGGGGGCGUGAGCCUACGGACAGUGCAGCAGAGAGUAGACCGCCUAAGGGCGCCCUCUGGGGUGCAACGGUAAGGGUGAAAGGGUGCGGUAAGAGCGCACCGCGCAACUGGCAACAGCUUGUGGCAUGGUAAACCCCACUCGGAGCAAGACCAAAUAGGAAUCCGUAUGGCGUGACCCGCGUUGGAUUCGGGUAGGUUGCUUGAGGUGUAUGGCGACGUACAUCCCAGAUGAAUGACUGUUCACGACAGAACCCGGCUUACAGGCCGACUCU